CAUUUUUCCACGAAAAAUCUCCCUUCGAUGGUUUUUACGGUGUACUGGAAAUGAAUCGUCGCCGGAAUCGUCGACGGAAGGCACACAACAGCACAUCCAUCACCCGGUUGACAACGAUGACACCGACGACGACGACGACGACGACGAGGAUUCUCGGAAAACCAGGAAAAACAAUCUUCCGAAAGAGCAUGCUGGCGGCUGCUAUGCGCGAAGGCCAUCCAGUAGAGCACGGCGUAUCCUUGGCCGCACUGAUUUCUAAAUUUAAAACUCUCUCUCUCUUCGCGUCUCUUCCUGUCAGGGCGGCGACACAUUGGCCUAGAAACGGCCAACGGCUCGGAACGGGACCCUCACAGCUGUUCUGACCAUAACCUACACCGCGCGCGAUCGUGUCCCCGGAUGCUGGAUGAUGCUUUCUUCGCGCAAAGUGGCACCACCGGAAGGAAUCACUCCGCCAGUAGCUAGCGCUCCCACUCCAUACAACAUCGCCAAGCCACAAAGAGCUACCUUGCCGAUUGCAGGUGCACAGCUUGGCCACAGGAAUAGUGUAGAGCGGGGCGGCUUGCUGCGUCAAUUUAUUGCAUCAACUGCUGACCGGUGACCCCUCUCGCUCGCUCAGCUCAUAAGGCACGCGCAGUUUGUUGUUCCGGAUCCGGUGGCGGCGAUGAGUUGGGCGCGAGAUAAUAGAGAAACAAAUCCAUUGCACACAUCAUCGCAGCAGUGCGCCACACCUGACGCAGAACAAGCCGCCUACAGCCGUCAACACAACAGAGUUCACAACGCAAAUAUUAUUGUUUACCUGGGGUAGCAAAUAAACACAGGGCCGGCAAUCCGGCGCAACUAGCAAAACCCUGAUUAGGUGUUUAGCAGUACUUACUAAGAAGUGUAGUUAAGAACACGAUGGUGCACGCCAUCAAAACCACCAGCCGCUAGGCCUUGGCAUCAGAGGGGAUCAGCGAGAUGUGAGUCACGAGAAAGCAACCAUAAAUGACAAUUGUAACCUUAUCCACCACCACCACACGAUGAAAUCAUCUAUCGAUAGUUCGCGGCCUUCACAGCCUCGAGCAAGGGCGCCCGUGCACUCGUUAACCAGCACCACCACCACCACCGAGGGUUGAGAUCAGGUCUAUAGUAGGGCUGUGGACUGACUGGCCGAGAGAGCUGGACAAACCGGACGGCACGCCCUUUUCCACGUGGGGCCCACCAGAACUUCCAGCCCAGAACUGCUGGUUCUUUGGGUCAACUGUACACCAACUGUGUAUCAAAUGCAAAUGCGGCCACCAGUAGUAGUGUCCGCCCACCUCGCCACACAACACUUUUCCUUUCAGACAUACUUUCAUUGUCAACUCACUCCACGCUGUUCAGCUGCUGGACAUUGUGUUGUAAAAAAGAAUUGGAAUUGAGGAAGCUGAUGGAGUGAGCGAAGCAAAAAGUCGACCAACCGGGACCGAUCGAUGUCCUCGCGAGUUCUCUCGCGUGAUUUUCGUGACAGAUUCGAGCGAUAGAAAGCCCCACACUCGGAACAGUGUCCACAGUGGGGUAGUGGUGGACAGCAUUAAAUCGUGUCUAAUUGGCAUACAAUGGGCAAUGCUCCGUCGUCGUGUGUUUUUGCAUACCUGCUGCAGCCUGUCUGAAGGGAGUUGCAUUAACCUGCAUUAAGGGAACGGAGCGCACGGCAUGCACAACAAAAAAAGCCAUGCUAUAAUCUCUUCUCCAUUACUUUAACAUGCAUUGUGCGCUGCGAAACGGAUAAUUGUAAAUCAUUAGCGCUAGGGAUAAUGAUGAGGUUUAUUAUAUCGCACAAAUUGUACACUGUGUUGGAGUGAACAUUAAUAACGUCGCGCAAUUUAUGAUGCUCAAUAACAAAAAGAUGAAAUUACUGGUUACUGGGCUGCCCAAAAGCUGAAAAACCCCCGCGAGCACUCUCUUCGGAUGAUGGAGCAGCUUUAAUGGAACAUCUGUCGUGUAAAGAUGCAACAACAUCUUUGGCCUAACAUUUGAUAACAAUUCCAGCAGGGAAUACCGUCGUGAAAUCGUUAAGCUCCCGGUGCGUAUUCAAAACAGCCCAUCUCUUCGGCGUCUGCUGAUGCAACGCGCGUCCGAAGUAUCAUAAGGCAGCGGAGGGGAUUGCUGAUCAAAUAAAUGGGCUUUUGUUAUCGCAA